CUUUAGAUGUGAAGUCCCUGACUUGGUAGGGCAUGAUAAAUUAUGUUGGCAAUAGUGACAGAAACAAAAAUCACGAUUGUCUUUAUGUUUUGUGAAAUGAUCCCAUACAUCAGCCCUCUCGCCUUGCUCCUUUUCUUUUUUUGGCUGAGAAGUAGCUCCACUUGGAUCAUCUGGUGCUUUUUGUUUGCCAGAAUCCGCUGUUUCGUUGUCGAGUCCCUCACCAUUUGGAAAUGAUGAUGAAUCCAUCUGAAACAAAAAAAUAACCCAUUGUUAAAUAAA
rnacentral:lncRNA from 1 species